rnacentral:precursor_RNA from 12 species
CUCCUGUUCUUUGCCCUCCAGGUGUCCGACUGUGUAGAGGUGAGAAAAUUACUGUGCUAUAUAUAUCUUGGUAAAUUUCUUGCCUUUCACAAUUGAUCAUCUUGGAUUCUACUGCUGUCCCUU